UUGAAACACUGGUUCUCAUAUGAUCACCGAAGUUAAGCAAUAUCAAGCCUGGUCAGCACCUAGAUGGGUGACCUGUUGAGAAUAUCAG